rnacentral:misc_RNA from 1 species
GAAAUGCGAUAAGUAAUGUGAAUUGAAGAAUUCAGUGAAUCAUCGAAUCUUUGAACGCACCUUGCGCUCCUUGGUAUUCCUUGGAGCAUGCCUGUUUGAGUAUCAUGAAAUCUUCAAAGUAAAUCUUUUGUUAACUCAAUUGGUUUCUACUUUGGUAUUGGAGGUCUUUGCAGCUUCACACCUGCUCCUCUUUGUUCAUUAGCUGGAUCUCAGUGUUAUGCUUGGUUCCACUCGGCGUGAUAAGUUAUCUAUCGCUGAGGACACUGUAAAAGGUGGCCAAGGUAAAUGCAGAUGAACCGCUUCUAAUAGUUCAUUGACUUGGACAAUACUUUUAUGAUCUGAUCUCAAAUCAGGUAGGACUACCCGCUGAACUUAAGC